CGCAGAUGGUCCCCAUGAUGAUGAAGCCGAGGCUGAAGAUGGCGAUGGCGGCGGCCGAGAUGCUGUACUCUGCGGGACAGGAGGGCAGGUACGGAUACAGAAGCAACUUGCCCAAGGUCACACAGCUGGUAAACGGUGAAGCCAGCUCUCAGAACCCAGAGCCCAACCUCUGAAGCCAUGGUCGGAGCCAGGAGGAAUGGCCAAGAUCUGUUGUGACUACUGAGAGAAAGAGAGACGGCGCACACAGAAGCAGGGGAGGGGCAGAGAGAGAAGGAGACACAGAAUCCGAAGCAGGCUCCAAGCUGUCAGCACAAUGCCCGACUCGGGGCUCGAACCCACAAACAGUGAGAUCGUGACCUGAGCCGAAGUCAGACGCCCAACAAAUUGGCACCCCGGCACCCUGCAGAAAUAAAUUUCUGUUGUUUAA